GCAGUCGUGGCCAAGUGGUUAAGGCGAUGAACUAGAAAUCCAUUGGGGUUCGAAAACUGUCGACUGCG
rnacentral:tRNA from 1 species